GAUCAGUCGAGUUAAUUGUUACUGGAGCUACGAGCGAGCGAAAUGUUGUGUUGCCCUUGUUUCCCCUUUAGGAAGCGCAAGAAAGUCCGUCUAGAGCCAGUGCCAGAGGUGGCGAUUCCCAGACCUCAGAGGGUCCGCCCGAUCCUCAGGAGGCUGAGGAAGUUCCUGAAAAAGGAACAAGCCCUUGUGGCAGAGGGCUCUGUACGGGAGCCCCAGACAACAGGGUCAGAGGUCACCCCUCACAUCCCCUCAGAGGUCUCGGCCAUUCCGAUCACACCUAGUCCAAAUGCCCUUCAAGAGACCGAGAAGGAGGAGACUAAGGUGAUCAAGGCCAUCCUUCAUGAGGACCCUGUUAAAAUGGAGGACCUCGAGGGAGAGGAGGAGACCAACUCGUCCCUUGUGCCUGCAGUGCUUGGGCCCUCCUCCAGCUCCUUGGAACGCUGUGUGACCCAGCUGAUGGGGCAAGACGUUGCCAAGAGGGAAAGAUCAUCAAGGGGCAGAAGCCCCUCUGCUGCAUUAACUGCCCCAGACAAUAGUGUUGCCCUCCUCCAACCUCAGCAGCUGAAGUGCAGAGGGCUGCCCAACCUGGGGCAUACCUGCUACCUGAACGCCACACUGCAGUGUCUGCUCCACCUGCAGCCUCUCUGCACUCAGCUGCUGGUGCAGGAGGAGGUGUGGAGGAUGGAGCCAAAGGCACUGCUGCUCGGUUCGUUUGUAGGACUGGUACUCCUCAGAGGGUCCUUUGAAAUGGACAUGAAGGCAGCUGUACUACUGGAGCUCAAGGACCAAAUCUCCCUGCACAACCAGGAGUUUGAGGGGAACUCGCAGAACGGGAGAACCUAGCGAUGACUUAGCAAUGACGCCCAUGAGUUCCUCUCAGAGUGUCUACUGCGGCUGAGGGUCAUCGGCCAGGCACUGGCCAUGGGCGACAUGGCCUACCAGUGCCCAGUGGACACUCUGCUCUCCUUCCAGCUCCGGUAUAUAAGAACUUGCCAGAGCUGUGGAGUUGAGAGCAUGAGGGAUGAGGUUAACACCAUGCUCUCCCUCGACCUGGUUGUACAGGGAUCGAUAAGAGACAGCCUCCAGCUCUUUUUCACUGAAUCAAAUGUGGAGUUCCGGUGUGAGUGCUGUGAGGGUCGGGUGUCAACCUUGAGGUGUCAUUUCCACACUCUGCCUCAGGUGUUGAUCCUCCACCUCAAGAGGUUCUGUCCCCUGACCCUCACCAAACAACACCAGGCGGUCACACUGGACCCCAUUCUGGACCUGAGGACACUAGGGGAAAGGAUUGAAGAUGUCCUUAGGACGCCUCCUCCAACCAGAGUGUCCAGCAUAGGUGGAGAGACAGGGACAGAGACCCUGGAAGGAGAGGGACAUUAUACCUUAAUAAAUGUCCUUAGCCACAUUGGCUCAGAUACCACCAGCGGCCACUACAUGGCCGACUGUGAGGAACAGCCAGGCCAGUGGGUCACAUACAGUGACCACUGUGUCUCAGUGAAAGCUGAGGAGGCCGUCCUCAAAGACAGGGAGAGGAUGGCCUACAUACUUUUUUACAUCAAAAAGGUGACACAUGCUGGAGUACAGUGUCACACUGAGUAGUUUGAGCGCUGGCUGCUGUGUAGAUGAAGCUCAUCCUUCGACUCUUUGCUCAGUAGUGUCCAGCAUAGGUGGAGAGACCGGGACAGAGACCCUGGUGAGAGACCGGGACAGAGACCCUGGAAGGAAAGGGACAUUAAUUAAGGAAUAAUGUUCUCAGCCACAUUGGCUCAGAUACCACCAGCGGCCACUACAUGGCCGACUUUGAGGAACAGCCAGGCCAGUGGGUCACAUACAGUGACCACUGUGUCUCAGUGAGAGCUGAGGAGGCCAUCCUCAAAGACAGGGAGAGGAUGGCCUACAUUCUUUUUUUACAUCAAAAAGUGAUGCGGAUUACCCCCCUCCCCACCCCGUCUGCCUUCUGCCCUCCCCAUCAUCAUCACGGGUAAAAGCUGUCAGCACCACUCCAGCAAGCAAUGGGUGACCUAUUCAUAAAGGGCAAAUAAAAUUGUAUUAAACCAACAUCAAUGUCUACUGGAGAAUGCCUUCACUGUAUUGAGCACAUCAUUGGCAUCUUAAGCGACA
ensembl:lncRNA